GUGCUCACUCUGGCGGUACAUUUACUAAAAUUGGAAUGAUGCAAAGAUUAGCAUGGCCCCUGUGCAAGGAUGAUGUGCAAACUCAUGAAGCGUUCCAUAUUUUU